CACUUAUCCAGAGAGGCGGAGGGACAGGCCCUGCGAUGCCCAGCAACCGGCAAGUUUGUUUGUACGGUGCUAAUUCCUGCGAAGUCUGUAGACUUUGAUAGAUGAGAA
rnacentral:ncRNA from 1 species